rnacentral:lncRNA from 1 species
UAAAAAUCGACUCUUCCAAUUCACCAACCUUAUAGGUAGUUUUACACAUCAAAUAAGAACUUUCAAAUCCUAGUUGUGGUUUAUUCAUUAUAGUGAUUCAAGUGUAAACUCAUAACAAUUAUUUGCCACCCCAAGGGCUGAUCCCUGGUUGAUGUUUUCAUGAAAGACCAGAAAAUAGUAAGAAAUUCUUACAAACUGGGAAGAUGAAAUGCUUUCAAUUUCAAAAUACCCCAUAUUCAACUUUGUGACAACAAAAGAAGCUCAAG